rnacentral:rRNA from 1 species
GCGGCAUGCCUUACACAUGCAAGUCGAACGGCAGCACGGGAGUAAUCAUGGUGGCGAGUGGCGAACGGGUGAGUAAUACAUCGGAACGUGCCCAGUAGUGGGGGAUAGCCCGGCGAAAGCCGGAUUAAUACCGCAUAAACCAGUAGCUGGGCAUCCAGCAGCUGCUAAAGACUUAUCGAUGUAAGCUGGGCAUGCGUCGAAUUAGCUAGUUGGUAAGGUAACGGCUCACCAAGGCAAGGAUUGGUAGGGGAACCGAGAGGUCAAUCCCCCACACUGGCACUGGGACACGAGCCAGACGCCUACGGGAGGCAGCAGUAGGGAAUAUUGGGCAAUGGACGCAAGUCUGACCCAGCCAUGCCGCGUGCAGGAUGAGGGCGUUAUGCGUUGUAAACUGCUUUUAUACAGGAAGAAACGACUCUUGCGAGAGGCAUUGACGGUACUGUAUGAAUAAGCACCGGCUAACUCCGUGCCAGCAGCCGCCGUAAGAC